GGGUUGUGAGGUUAAGCGACUAAGCGUACACGGUGGAUGCCCUGGCAGUCAGAGGCGAUGAAGGACGUGCUAAUCUGCGAUAAGCGUCGGUAAGGUGAUAUGAACCGUUAUAACCGGCGAUUUCCGAAUGGGGAAACCCAGUGUGAUUCGUCACACUAUCAUUAACUGAAUCCAUAGGUUAAUGAGGCGAACCGGGGGAACUGAAACAUCUAAGUACCCCGAGGAAAAGAAAUCAACCGAGAUUCCCCCAGUAGCGGCGAGCGAACGGGGAGCAGCCCAGAGCCUGAAUCAGUGUGUGUGUUAGUGGAAGCGUCUGGAAAGGCGCGCGAUACAGGGUGACAGCCCCGUACACAAAAAUGCACAUGCUGUGAGCUCGAUGAGUAGGGCGGGACACGUGGUAUCCUGUCUGAAUAUGGGGGGACCAUCCUCCAAGGCUAAAUACUCCUGACUGACCGAUAGUGAACCAGUACCGUGAGGGAAAGGCGAAAAGAACCCCGGCGAGGGGAGUGAAAAAGAACCUGAAACCGUGUACGUACAAGCAGUGGGAGCACGCUUAGGCGUGUGACUGCGUACCUUUUGUAUAAUGGGUCAGCGACUUAUAUUCUGUAGCAAGGUUAACCGAAUAGGGGAGCCGAAGGGAAACCGAGUCUUAACUGGGCGUUAAGUUGCAGGGUAUAGACCCGAAACCCGGUGAUCUAGCCAUGGGCAGGUUGAAGGUUGGGUAACACUAACUGGAGGACCGAACCGACUAAUGUUGAAAAAUUAGCGGAUGACUUGUGGCUGGGGGUGAAAGGCCAAUCAAACCGGGAGAUAGCUGGUUCUCCCCGAAAGCUAUUUAGGUAGCGCCUCGUGAAUUCAUCUCCGGGGGUAGAGCACUGUUUCGGCAAGGGGGUCAUCCCGACUUACCAACCCGAUGCAAACUGCGAAUACCGGAGAAUGUUAUCACGGGAGACACACGGCGGGUGCUAACGUCCGUCGUGAAGAGGGAAACAACCCAGACCGCCAGCUAAGGUCCCAAAGUCAUGGUUAAGUGGGAAACGAUGUGGGAAGGCCCAGACAGCCAGGAUGUUGGCUUAGAAGCAGCCAUCAUUUAAAGAAAGCGUAAUAGCUCACUGGUCGAGUCGGCCUGCGCGGAAGAUGUAACGGGGCUAAACCAUGCACCGAAGCUGCGGCAGCGACGCUUAUGCGUUGUUGGGUAGGGGAGCGUUCUGUAAGCCUGCGAAGGUGUGCUGUGAGGCAUGCUGGAGGUAUCAGAAGUGCGAAUGCUGACAUAAGUAACGAUAAAGCGGGUGAAAAGCCCGCUCGCCGGAAGACCAAGGGUUCCUGUCCAACGUUAAUCGGGGCAGGGUGAGUCGACCCCUAAGGCGAGGCCGAAAGGCGUAGUCGAUGGGAAACAGGUUAAUAUUCCUGUACUUGGUGUUACUGCGAAGGGGGGACGGAGAAGGCUAUGUUGGCCGGGCGACGGUUGUCCCGGUUUAAGCGUGUAGGCUGGUUUUCCAGGCAAAUCCGGAAAAUCAAGGCUGAGGCGUGAUGACGAGGCACUACGGUGCUGAAGCAACAAAUGCCCUGCUUCCAGGAAAAGCCUCUAAGCAUCAGGUAACAUCAAAUCGUACCCCAAACCGACACAGGUGGUCAGGUAGAGAAUACCAAGGCGCUUGAGAGAACUCGGGUGAAGGAACUAGGCAAAAUGGUGCCGUAACUUCGGGAGAAGGCACGCUGAUAUGUAGGUGAAGUCCCUCGCGGAUGGAGCUGAAAUCAGUCGAAGAUACCAGCUGGCUGCAACUGUUUAUUAAAAACACAGCACUGUGCAAACACGAAAGUGGACGUAUACGGUGUGACGCCUGCCCGGUGCCGGAAGGUUAAUUGAUGGGGUCAGCGCAAGCGAAGCUCUUGAUCGAAGCCCCGGUAAACGGCGGCCGUAACUAUAACGGUCCUAAGGUAGCGAAAUUCCUUGUCGGGUAAGUUCCGACCUGCACGAAUGGCGUAAUGAUGGCCAGGCUGUCUCCACCCGAGACUCAGUGAAAUUGAACUCGCUGUGAAGAUGCAGUGUACCCGCGGCAAGACGGAAAGACCCCGUGAACCUUUACUAUAGCUUGACACUGAACAUUGAGCCUUGAUGUGUAGGAUAGGUGGGAGGCUUUGAAGUGUGGACGCCAGUCUGCAUGGAGCCGACCUUGAAAUACCACCCUUUAAUGUUUGAUGUUCUAACGUUGACCCGUGAUCCGGGUUGCGGACAGUGUCUGGUGGGUAGUUUGACUGGGGCGGUCUCCUCCUAAAGAGUAACGGAGGAGCACGAAGGUUGGCUAAUCCUGGUCGGACAUCAGGAGGUUAGUGCAAUGGCAUAAGCCAGCUUGACUGCGAGCGUGACGGCGCGAGCAGGUGCGAAAGCAGGUCAUAGUGAUCCGGUGGUUCUGAAUGGAAGGGCCAUCGCUCAACGGAUAAAAGGUACUCCGGGGAUAACAGGCUGAUACCGCCCAAGAGUUCAUAUCGACGGCGGUGUUUGGCACCUCGAUGUCGGCUCAUCACAUCCUGGGGCUGAAGUAGGUCCCAAGGGUAUGGCUGUUCGCCAUUUAAAGUGGUACGCGAGCUGGGUUUAGAACGUCGUGAGACAGUUCGGUCCCUAUCUGCCGUGGGCGCUGGAGAAUUGAGGGGGGCUGCUCCUAGUACGAGAGGACCGGAGUGGACGCAUCACUGGUGUUCGGGUUGUCAUGCCAAUGGCACUGCCCGGUAGCUAAAUGCGGAAGAGAUAAGUGCUGAAAGCAUCUAAGCACGAAACUUGCCCCGAGAUGAGUUCUCCCUGACUCCUUGAGAGUCCUGAAGGAACGUUGAAGACGACGACGUUGAUAGGCCGGGUGUGUAAGCGCAGCGAUGCGUUGAGCUAACCGGUACUAAUGAACCGUGAGGCUUAACCUUACAACGCCGAAG
rnacentral:rRNA from 1 species